UAGGGAAUCUUCCGCAAUGGACGCAAGCCUGACGGAGCAACGCCGCGUGAGUGAAGAAGGAUUUCGGUUCGUAAAACUCUGUUGUUAGAGAAGAACAGCGCAUAGAGUAACUGUUAUGCGUGUGACGGUAUCUAACCAGAAAGCCACGGCUAACUACGUGCCAGCAGCCGCGGUAAUACGUAGGUGGCAAGCGUUGUCCGGAUUUAUUGGGCGUAAAGCGAGCGCAGGCGGUCAAUUAAGUCUGAUGUGAAAGCCCCCGGCUCAACCGGGGAGGGGCAUUGGAAACUGGUUGACUUGAGUGCAGAAGGGGAGAGUGGAAUUCCAUGUGUAGCGGUGAAAUGCGUAGAUAUAUGGAGGAACACCGGUGGCGAAGGCGACUCUCUGGUCUAUAACUGACGCUGAGGCUCGAAAGCGUGGGUAGCAAACAGG
rnacentral:rRNA from 1 species